AUUGAACGCUGGCGGCAUGCCUUACACAUGCAAGUCGAACGGCAGCACGGGGCAACCUGGUGGCGAGUGGCGAACGGGUGAGUAAUGCAUCGGAACGUACCUUUCAGUGGGGGAUAACGCAGCGAAAGUUACGCUAAUACCGCAUAUUCUGUGAGCAGGAAAGCAUGGGAUCACAAGACCUUGCGCUGAUUGAGCGGCCGAUGUCAGCUUAGCUAGUUGGUGGGGUAAAGGCUCGCCAAGGCGACGAUCUGUAGCGGGUCUGAGAGGAUGAUCCGCAAAACUGGAACGAGCACACGGUCCAGCCUCCUACGGGAGGCAGAGGUGGGAAAUUUUGGACAAUGGGGGCAACCCUGAUCCAGCCAUGCCGCGUGAGUGAAGAAGGCCUUCGGGUUGUAAAGCUCUUUCGGCCGGGAAGAAAUCGCACGGGCUAAUACCCUGUGUGGAUGACGGUACCGGAAUAAGAAGCACCGGCUAACUACGUGCCAGCAGCCGCCGUAAUAC
rnacentral:rRNA from 1 species